AUUGAACGCUGGCGGCAGGCCUAACACAUGCAAGUCGAACGAGGGGCGGACGGGUGAGUAAUGUCUGGGAAACUGCCUGAUGGAGGGGGAUAACUACUGGAAACGGUAGCUAAUCCCGCAUACCAUCAGAUUUGCCCAGAUGGGAUUAGCUUGUUGGUGGGGUAAUGGCUCACCAGGGCGACGAUCCCGAGCUGGUCUGCGAGGAUGACCAGCCACACUGGAACUGAGACACGGUCCAGACUCCUAGGGGAGGCAGCAGUGGGGAAUAUUGCACAAUGGGCGCAAUCCUGAUGCAGCCAUGCCGCGUGUAUGAAGAAGGCCUUCGGGUUGUAAAGUACUUUCAGCGAGGAGGCGUUACCCGCAGAAGAAGCACCGGCUAACUCCGUGCCAGCCGCCGCGGUAAUUC
rnacentral:rRNA from 1 species